UGCCAGCAGCCGCGGUAAUACGGGGGGUGCAAGCGUUACUCGGAAUCACUGGGCGUAAAGAGCGUGUAGGCGAGUUUGUAAGUUGGAAGUGAAAUCCUAUGGCUCAACCAUAGAACUGCUUCCAAAACUGCUUACCUAGAAUAUGGGAGAGGUAGAUGGAAUUUCUGGUGUAGGGGUAAAAUCCGUAGAGAUCAGAAGGAAUACCGAUUGCGAAGGCGAUCUACUGGAACAUUAUUGACGCUGAGACGCGAAAGCAUGGGGAGCAAACAGGAUUAGAUA
rnacentral:rRNA from 1 species